GGAUGCCUUGGCACUAAGAGCCGAUGAAAGACGUGAUAAGCUGCGAAAAGCUUCGGGGAGGAGCAAAUAUCCAAUGAUCCGGAGAUAUCUGAAUGGGGAAACCCGGCUGGACAGACUCCAGUCAUCCAUACGCCAAUCCAUAACGUAUGGAAGGGAACCCGGUGAACUGAAACAUCUAAGUAGCCGGAGGAAGAGAAAACAACAUGUGAUUCUGGAAGUAGCGGCGAGCGAAACCGGAAGAGCCCAAACCAGCGUGCGUGCAUGCUGGGGUUCGGACCGCAUAAUUGAUUGAUGAGUCUAGCAGAAUGGUUUUGGGAAAGCCAGCCAGAGAGGGUGAAAGCCCCGUAAGCGAAAGACGAGUCAGCAAGGCGGGAUCCAGAGUACCACGAGACACGAGAAACCUUGUGGGAAUGAGCGGGGACCACCCCGUAAGGCUAAAUACUCCUUAGUGACCGAUAGCGCAUAGUACUGUGAAGGAAAGGUGAAAAGGACCCCGGGAGGGGAGUGAAAGAGAACCUGAAACCCUGUGUUUACAAGCUGUGGAACAUCUAUAUAUGAUGAACCGCGUACUUUUUGUAGAACGGUCCGGCGAGUUACGCCAUCUGGCGAGGUUAAGUUCUUAAGGAAUGGAGCCGAAGUGAAAACAAGUCUUAAUAGGGCGUUAAGUCAGAUGGAGUAGACCCGAAACCGGGUGAUCUAUCCAUGUCCAGGAUGAAGUUGCCGUAAAAGGCAAUGGAGGUCCGAACCCACAUCCGUUGAAAAGGGUGGGGAUGAGGUGUGGAUAGGGGAGAAAUUCCAAUCGAACCCGGAGAUAGCUGGUUCUCCUCGAAAUAGCUUUAGGGCUAGCCUCAUGAGAGUCUUUUGGAGGUAGAGCACUGAAUUCCCGCGGGGGCGUCAAAGCUUACCAAAGGAUAUCAAACUCCGAAUGCCAGUAAGAUGAUUCAUGGGAGUCAGACUGCACGAGAUAAGUUGGGCAGUCAAAAGGGAAAGAGCCCAGACCUGCAGCUAAGGUCCCAAAAUGUGUGUUAAGUGGAAAAGGAUGUGGGAUUUCAAAGACAACCAGGAUGUUGGCUUAGAAGCAGCCAUACAUUAAAAGAGUGCGUAAUAGCUCACUGGUCGAGAGGUCCUGCGCCGAAAAUGUCCGGGGCUGAAACACACUACCGAAGCUCAGGAAUUAACGUAGUUAAUUGGUAGAGGAGCAUUCUUAAAGGGAAGAAGCAGUACCGGAAGGAGCUGUGGACUUUUAAGAAGAGAGAAUGCCGGAAUGAGUAGCGAGAGGAAGGUGAGAAUCCUUCCGGCCGAAUAUCUAAGGUUUCCAGAGUAAAGCUGAUCUGCUCUGGGUAAGUCGGGGCCUAAGGUGAGGUCGAAAGACGUAGCCGAUGGACAACAGGUUGAAAUUCCUGUACUGCAGUAUAACAGAACUGUGGGGACGCAGAGGGAGAGCACUAGCGGGAAUGGAAUCCCGCGGCAAGCGAGGUAGGAGUCGCGCUGGCAAAUCCGCGUGACAAUCCGAAGACGUGAUGCAUACCGAACUGAAGUAGGGAAAUGUGUGAGCCAGCUGCCAAGAAAAGCCGCUAUUGUUUGUACUGUACCCGUACCGUAAACCGACACAGGUAGGUGAGGAGAGAAUCCUAAGGCCGACGGGAGAAGCAUUGUUAAGGAACUCGGCAAAAUGACCCCGUAACUUCGGGAGAAGGGGUGCCUCGAAAGAGGCCGCAGAGAAUUGGCCCAAGCAACUGUUUAGCAAAAACACAGGUCUAUGCAAAACCGUAAGGUGAAGUAUAUGGGCUGACGCCUGCCCGGUGCUGGAAGGUUAAGGGGAGAGGUUAGCGCAAGCGAAGCUUUGAACUUAAGCCCCAGUAAACGGCGGCCGUAACAAUAACGGUCCUAAGGUAGCGAAAUUCCUUGUCGGGU
rnacentral:rRNA from 1 species